CGGCGGACGGGUGAGUAACACGUGGAUAACCUACCUAUAAGACUGGGAUAACUUCGGGAAACCGGAGCUAAUACCGGACAAUAUAUUGAACCGCAUGGUUCAAUAGUGAAAGACGGUUUUGCUGUCACUUAUAGAUGGAUCCGCGCCGCAUUAGCUAGUUGGUAAGGUAACGGCUUACCAAGGCAACGAUGCGUAGCCGACCUGAGAGGGUGAUCGGCCACACUGGAACUGAGACACGGUCCAGACUCCUACGGGAGGCAGCAGCC
rnacentral:rRNA from 1 species